GACGAACGCUGGCGGCGUGCUUAACACAUGCAAGUCGAACGGUGAUCCAGGUACUUGUAUCUGGUGAUCAGUGGCGAACGGGUGAGUAACACGUGAGUAACCUGCCCUUCACUCUGGGAUAACUCCGGGAAACCGGGGCGUAAUACCGGAUAUGACACUGACCCGCAUGGGUAUGGUGUGGAAAGUUUUUCGGUUGGAGGA
rnacentral:rRNA from 1 species